GGCCGCUGCUCGGCCCGCUACCUGCCACGCUGAGGCGGCGGGGCUCUGGGCGAGCCCAUCGUGCAGGGGGAGGGAGGGAGCUUGGGAGCGGCGGAGGACGGACCGAGCGACCGGCGGGCGGCAGGGAGGGGGGAGCCGCUGCCGCCAGCCAGGCGCGCGGCGACCUGAUCCUUGUCCAACAUGGUCGCCGCUCACACCUCCCAUUCCGCGUCCUCUGGCGAGUGGAUCGCGUGCCUGGAUAAAAGACCUUUGGAACGUUCCAGUGAAGAUGUAGAUAUAAUAUUCACACGACUGAAAGAAGUGAAAGCUUUUGAAAAAUUUCAUCCAAACCUUCUCCAGCAGAUAUGUCUCUGUGGAUAUUAUGAAAAUCUGGAAAAGGGGAUCACAUUAUUCCGCCAGGGUGAUAUUGGAUCAAACUGGUAUGCUGUUCUGACAGGAUCACUGGAUGUGAAGGUUUCUGAUACGAGUAACCACCAGGAUGCUGUAACAAUAUGCACUCUGGGAGUAGGAACUGCUUUUGGAGAGUCCAUUCUGGAUAACACUCCUCGCCAUGCUACCAUCGUUACCAGAGAAUAUAGCGAGCUCCUUCGAAUUGAGCAGAAGGACUUCAAAGCGCUUUGGGAGAAAUACCGACAGUAUAUGUCUGGACUUCUCACUCCUCCUUAUGGUGUUAUGGAAACUGGCUCCAACAAUGACAGAAUGCCAGAUAAGGACGGUAUGUCAAGCGGUGCCCUUUGCCAGGUUUCUAAAAAUUGUAAUAAGACACCUCUUAUUGACUCUCACAUCCCACAUCGUCCUUCUAAAACCAUUACACAGGUUCCUUCAGAAAAGAUCCUCAGAGCUGGAAAGAUUUUGCGGAAUACAAUUCUGUCUCGAGCCCCUCACAUGAUAAGAGAUCGUAAAUAUCAUCUGAAGACUUACAGACAAUGCUGUGUGGGGACAGAACUUGUUGACUGGAUGAUGCAGCAAAGUACUUGUGUCCAUUCACGAAGUCAAGCUGUUGGCAUGUGGCAAGUGUUGCUGGAAGAAGGCGUUCUUAACCAUGUGGACCAGGAGCACCACUUUCAGGACAAAUACUUAUUUUAUCGAUUUUUGGAUGAUGAGCGUGAAGAUGCCCCUUUGCCAACAGAGGAAGAGAAAAAGGAGUGUGAUGAAGAGCUACAGGACACUAUGCUUCUUCUGUCUCAGAUUGGGCCAGAUGCUCAUAUGAGGAUGAUUCUCAGAAAACCGCCUGGCCAGAGAAGUGUAGAUGAUUUAGAAAUUAUAUAUGAAGAACUUCUUCACAUUAAAGCCUUAUCUCAUCUUUCUACCACAGUAAAGAGAGAAUUAGCAGGUGUCCUCAUUUUUGAGUCACAUCCCAAAGCUGGAACAGUCUUAUUUAAUCAGGGAGAAGAAGGUACUUCUUGGUACAUUAUCCUAAAGGGAUCAGUAAACGUAGUCAUUUAUGGCAAGGGUGUGGUAUGUACUCUACACGAAGGAGAUGAUUUUGGCAAGCUAGCACUUGUGAAUGAUGCUCCCAGAGCAGCAUCUAUUGUUCUGCGUGAAGACAACUGCCACUUCUUGAGAGUAGACAAAGAGGACUUCAACAGAAUCCUUAGGGAUGUGGAAGCAAAUACUGUAAGACUUAAAGAACAUGACCAAGAUGUCUUGGUGUUGGAGAAGAUCCCAGCAGGAAACAGAGUUUCUAAUCAAGGAAGUUCACAGCCUCAGCACAAAUAUAUCGUGAUGUCAGGAACUCCAGAGAAAAUUUUAGAGCACUUUCUAGAAACUAUGCGCCUUGAAGCAACUUUAAAUGAAGGAACAGAUUCUAUUUUAAAUGAUUUUAUUAUGAUGCACUGUGUUUUUAUGCCAAAUAGUCAGCUCUGCCCAGCCUUGAUGGCGCAUUAUCAUGCCCAGCCUUCUCAGGGUACAGAGCAAGAGAAAAUGGAUUAUGCUCUCAACAACAAAAGGCGAGUCAUUCGACUGGUUCUGCAGUGGGCUGCUUUAUAUGGAGAUUUGCUACAAGAAGAUGAAGCAGCAAUGGCCUUUUUGGAGGAAUUUUAUGUAUCUGUGUCAGAUGAUACUAGAAUGAUUGCAGCACUAAAGGAGCAACUUCCAGAGCUAGAGAAAAUUGUAAAGCAAGUAGCUGAGGAACCUAAAGCACCACAAAAGAAGCACAAAGUUCUUCUGCAGCUAUUUAAUACAAGUGAUGACAGAGCACAGAAACGCCAACCUAUCAGGGGCAGCGAUGAAGUUCUUUUUAAGGUGUACUGCAUAGACCAAACCUAUACCACUAUCCGCGUGCCUGUGUCUUCAUCUGUGAAGGAAGUGAUCAGCGCAGUAGCAGAUAAGCUGGGUUCUGGAGAAGGCCUUAUCAUAGUAAAGAUGAGUUCAGGAGGAGAAAAAGUCGUGCUCAAGCCUCAUGAUGUUUCAGUGUUUACAACUCUCAGUGUUAAUGGACGGCUCUUCGCUUGCCCACGUGAUCAGUUUGAUUCACUGGCGCCGUUACCAGAACAAGAGGGACCUUCAGCUGGUACAGUCGGAACGUUUGAACUGAUGAGCUCCAAAGACCUAGCACAUCAGAUGACAAUUUAUGACUGGGAGCUCUUCAACUGCGUGCAUGAGCUGGAAUUGAUCUAUCACACCUUUGGAAGGCACAAUUUUAAAAAGACCACAGCAAAUCUGGAUUUAUUUUUAAGAAGAUUUAAUGAAAUUCAGUUCUGGGUGGUCACUGAGAUUUGUCUUUGCUCUCAACUCAGCAAGCGUGUGCAGCUAUUGAAGAAAUACAUUAAGAUAGCUGCCCAGUAAGUAUACAAUCAUCUAUGAGCUGGAAAUGAGGCUGAAUAUAGUAAAUUUGUUGUUAUUGUCCUUUUUUGUUUGUUUGUUUUUGUUUUCAAGAAGUCACACAAUUAGAGGUUUAAAUGUUUUUUAUUCAGUAAUUCUGUCCAUUUCCUUACAGUGCAGUUUAGAAGCUUGUUAAUACAUAUUCUUCUUUCCUGUCUUACUCUUCAUUGAUCCUUAAUUUCUGAACAUCUCUGGACUUUUAGGGAUAUGCUUUCACAUCAAAUCUGUGAGUAAAUAUAUUUUAGCUCACUAAGAGAAUCCUUCAUAUACCCUUGCACACAUCAGUGAAAACUAAUAUUGAAUUAACAAAUUUUAACAAAAGAUGUGGUAUUGAGAUGGUGAGGCUUGUGUUUCCUUCAGUCUGCUUGUGACCAUUUCCUAAUACUUGUGUUUAAAAGCUCAACAAUAUGAAUAUCCUUUAUCCCUUACUACCUUCUGAGUUUGAGGUUGGAUAGCAGGCAAUCUUUGCUCUCUUCUUUUAUUCACAUUAGAACUGAAGCUCUUUGGAGCCUUGGUGUUAAAGAGUUAGGCCUCAGCUCCUUGCCAUCCAUGGAAGCCAAGAACAAGGACCUGAGGGGCGGAUGCUUCGGAGGGAGCAGGGCAUGCCCCUGCCCCGCAUGGCUGCAGUUUUUUAUCGCUGUUUCCUUCUUCCUUCCUUUCCAUUUUGCAGUGUGUUUAUUGCACUUAUCACCUGUCACUCAUUGUCUGAACCAACAGUUCGCUGAGGCAUACAGUGAGGAACUGCUGUUCUUAGUGUUUGUCUCAGAUUUUGGGUGUUGUGAGUAGAGAUCUUUAAGCAGUCUUACAGAACAAAGCAGUCCUUAUUUGCAGUUAAACAGUGAAUUUUAACAUUUGUUGCACUGCUUGGUGAAGUUGUGUGAAGGAAGAGAUUACUAGUACAGCUGUGAUGUCUCCUUCCUCCCAGUUUGUGAUUCCACAUGGCUGAAAUCAGUGUUCACAUCAAAACUAUGCCCCAGCAUUCCUCUCUGCUGUGGGCUGGGCCCUGCUCCCAAGUGCCGCUUCCUGCUUGGGAACUGCUUCGGGCCCUCGGGUGGCUCGGGGUUCAAUGAAGCUGAAGAUUUUCAAAAUCUGAUAGUGCGCAUGCAGGAUCGGGUUUCUAUACAGAACAGUGAACAGCAUUCACCUCUUUAGUUUCUAAAAAUAAGUGUGCUGCAUAUUCCGUGAUCUCACGGCCGGGAGAGGGCAGUGGCAGCCGCGCACAGCACAGCACAGGGAGCUGGGGCCUUUGCUGAGCUCAGAGGCAUGUAGCAGGGAAAUGUUGAAAUAUGGGAAAUUGAGAUACAAUAGUCAUUUCCAUAAACUCUUGAAAUCAAGUACCUUAAAAAUACAGCUAAAUAUCUCCUUAAUAAGCCGCCCUAGCCAGUGAGUCCCUCAGCGUCAUGGGUUUAGCCCUAUGCUAUUUACAACAGCUUGACAACCUCCUGUUUACUUCCAUGUUUCUGGUAUCACUACAAUGCUAAAAAUAAAUAGCUAAAAGCAGCUUGCUCUGCCGAGUCCUCUUUGUCUCCCAGAUGCAGAGAAAGCCAAAGCACAAGAUCUCCCUAAGCACAGACAGAGCAGGCAGGUCUGAUUGCAGAGUGGGAAAGGCAAGUUCUUCUAGGAAGUUCUUCUAGGCUCCUGCCCUCAGCGCAGGGCUGCUGUAGUAACAGGUGCUAUAGCAUGCCUAAAACAAACCCUGCACCCGAGUCUAUGGGGAGAGAAAGCCAAGGAACUGGAUCAACAGCUCAGGCCCAGGCCUCCUCCAGGCAAGAUCAGUGAGGAGGUUUUGUUUGUGAAGACCCUUGAGACCUUUACCCUACCUGGAACUACAAGGCUUAUUAGAAAAGUGCUUGGUGCAGCUCAGCGCUGCACAAUUAAUCUCGCAUGGCUGGUGGUAACAAGAUGCCUUGCACGUACCAGUUUUCAAAGGUAGCAGUUGUUGAGAGCCCUGUUUGAAUUCUGUGACGGGGCUCAGAUACCAUUGCAGGAGGCACAUCGCUCUGCCAUCGCCGCCAGCGUACCCUGUGCUGUGUGCUGCCUGAGGCCAAGCACUGGCUCCCAGUGCUGUGCACAUGUGCUGUCAGUUCCAGGAGCUGUUGUUGCCUUUGCAUCUGCUGGGAAAGGAUGUGGAGGUUACCAGGUUCAUCUCUUUCCUCCAGCCAUUGUAGGAUCAACCUUUGAAACAAUGAGAAGAAGCACACUAUGUUUCCUGUAGUGAGUUCUUCCCACAGUAAUUGCAUUCAAAAGGCCUUCUAGUAAGUACUUGCACAUACUUUUAUGGAUAGCCACAGACACUGUAUGUAUUUCCUGUUUGCAGAUACACCCACAGGCUAUUUAGAAACCUUCCUGUGCAUCACUACACUCAGACACUUUCACUUAGGUUUUGAAAAUUGUUCUUUCCAUACACAUGCAUGUUUUAUAAGCCCAAGGAGCCUCUAAGAAAUUUUUGAAGAGUAUGUGUGUGUGCAGAGAAAAUGCCAAGAUGAAUCUGCUUGUCUGUAAAGAAUACAAAAAUCUGAAUUCCUUUUUCGCUAUUAUUAUGGGACUGAGUAAUGUUGCCGUGAGCCGUCUUUCAUUGACAUGGGAGAAACUUCCAAGCA